rnacentral:lncRNA from 1 species
GGGCGGGCUCGCUUCCACCCUUCAGGGGCAAUAUCCUCUGCAGAGCCGAGAGCCCGAGGGGGGACGCUUAUCAAAGCCAGGCGCUGCCCCAGGGAUGGCGCGACAUCCAAGCCCUUUCUCUAUUGACAGUCAAACAUCUCACAGGGGCAGAGGUGCCAGCUGCCUUCCAUAUUUCUGGGGCGACAGAACGCAGGUUGAGACCUCAGACAUAUGUUAUCUGUGUUGAUGAGAGUGUCUGUCAUUCCACGCAGAGAGCAGAUGGUGUUCCCAGCACAUCUUCACCAGAUCUGUUCCAGAGAGAGGGAUCUUCUAGAACUCAGCCAUCCUCGCACUGCUAAGCACAGUGAUGGGUGAACAGCUUGGUCCUGCCCAGCAUCUCCCGGGGGCCUGGCCCAUGUAUGUCUUUGUGUGCACCGAGUGUAGGCCGUAGUAUCAAUGUGUACAGUUGUACAGCUCAAUGACAGAUCAGCGCUUUCAGAUAGCCCUCUAAUCAAAACCCACAAACACCAGAAUGGCCACAACCCAACUCCUCAGCAGGGGCUCAGCUACAGCCGUUGACGCCCUCUCCAGACCCUGAGCCCUGCCACAUCCUGGGGGCCCAAGAUGACGUCCUCCCCAUACCCUGAGCCCUGCCACGUCCUCCCCAGACCCUGAGCCCUGCCACGUCCUGGGGGCCCGAGAUGACGUACUCCCCAGACCCUGAGCCCUGCCACGUCCUGGGGGCCCGAGAUGACGUCCUCCCCAGACCCUGAGCCCUGCCACGUCCUGGGGGCCCGAGAUGACGUCCUCCCCAGACCCUGAGCCCUGCCACGUCCUGGGGGCCCGAGAUGACGUCCUCCCCAGACCCUGAGCCCUGCCACGUCCUGGGGGCCCGAGAUGACGUCCUCCCCAGACCCUGAGCCCUGCCACGUCCUGGGGGCCUGAGAUGACGUCCUCCCCAGACCCUGAGCCCUGCCACAUCCUGGGGGCCCGAGAUGACAUACUCCCCAGACCCUGAGCCCUGCCACGUCCUGGGGGCUAGAGAUGACAUCCUCCCCAGACCCUGAGCCCUGCCACGUCCUGAGGGCUCGAGAGGCUCUUGCUAGUCAUUGUGCCAUGGAUGCCCCAACAGCACAGGCCGUGCUUGGUGUAAAUCAUUCUUUGGUUAUUACAGAGACCUGGCAUUUACCCUAAAAACUCAUCCCGGUCUUCUCUCCGAUGGCCC